CCUACGGGAGGCAGCAGUGAGGAAUAUUGGUCAAUGGGCGCGAGUCUGAACCAGCCAAGUAGCGUGAAGGAUGACUGCCCUACGGGUUGUAAACUUCUUUUAUAAGGGAAUAAAGUUAGGUAUGUGUGCCUUUUUGUAUGUAUUUUAUGAAUAAGGAUCGGCUAACUCCGUGCCAGCAGCCGCGGUAAUACGGAGGAUCCGAGCGUUAUCCGGAUUUAUUGGGUUUAAAGGGAGCGUAGAUGGGUUGUUAAGUCAGUUGUGAAAGUUUGCGGCUCAACCGUAAAAUUGCAGUUGAUACUGGCAGCCUUGAGUACAGUUGAGGUAGGCGGAAUUCGUGGUGUAGCGGUGAAAUGCUUAGAUAUCACGAAGAACUCCGAUUGCGAAGGCAGCCUACUAGACUGCAACUGACAUUGAUGCUCGAAAGUGUGGGUAUCAAACAGGAUUAGAUACCCCAGUAGUC
rnacentral:rRNA from 1 species